AGGAGUUUGACGUCCUCGGACGUCAGGACGAACGGCUGGCGGCGUGCUUAACACAUGCAAGUCGAACGAAAGGCCCUAGCUUGCUGGGGUACUCGAGUGGCGAACGGGUGAGUAACACGUGGGUGAUCUGCCUUGCACUCUGGGAUAAGCUUGGGAAACUGGGUCUAAUACCGGAUAGGAACCGUCUUUAGUGUGGUGGUUGGAAAGUUUUUCGGUGCAAGAUGAGCUUGCGGCCUAUCAGCUUGUUGGUGGGGUAAUGGCCUACCAAGGCGUCGACGGGUAGCCGGCCUGAGAGGGUGUACGGCCACAUUGGGACUGAGAUACGGCCCAGACUCCUACGGGAGGCAGCAGUGGGGAGUAUUGCACAAUGGGCGGAAGCCUGAUGCAGCGACGCCGCAUGGGGGAUGACGGCCUUCGGGUUGUAAACUCCUUUCGACAGGGACGAAGCUUUUUGUGACGGUACCUGUAUAAGAAGCACCGGCUAACUACGUG
rnacentral:rRNA from 1 species